GGAUAGUUCAGUUGUUUAGAGCAUUGUGCUGAUAAUACCAAGGUUGUAGGUUCGAUCCCCGCAUGGGACA